rnacentral:rRNA from 1 species
GACGAACGCUGGCGGCGCGCCUAACACAUGCAAGUCGAGCGAGAACCGGAGCUUCGGCUCCGGGGACAGCGGCGAACGGGUGAGUAACACGUGGAUAACCUGCCCUCGGCACCGGAAUAGCCCGGGGAAACCCGGAUUAAUGCCGGAUAGCCCCACAUCCCUCGCGGGGAACGGUGGGAAAAGGUAAGCUUCGGCCUCUGGCCGAGGAUGGGUCCGCGGUGGAUUAGCUUGUUGGCGGGGGUAACGGGACCCACCCAAGGCGGACCGAUCCACUAGCUGGUCUGAGAGGACGAUCAGCCACACUGGGACGUGAGAC